rnacentral:rRNA from 1 species
UUUCCGGUUGAUCCUGCCGCCGGCCACCGCUAUCAAGUUCCGACUAAGCCAUGCGAGUCAAGGUAUCGUAAGAUGCCGGCAAACUGCUCAGUAACACGUGGAUAAUCUAACCUUGAGUAAGGGAUAACCUCGGGAAACUGAGGAUAAUACCUUAUAAUUGCUUAAAACUGGAAUGUUUAAGCAAUAAAAGUUCCGACGCUCAAGGAUGAGUCUGCGACCUAUCAGGUAGUAGGUGGUGUAAUGGACCACCUAGCCUCAGACGGGUACGGGCCCUGGGAGGGGUAGCCCGGAGAUGGACUCUGAGACAUCAGUCCAGGCCCUACGGGGCGCAGCAGGCGCGAACACUGUGCAAUGCGCGAAAGCGCGACACGGGGAGCUUGAGUGUCUUGGCAUAGCCAAGACUUUUCUCAUUCCUAAAAAGCAUGAGGAAUAAGUGCUGGGUAAGACGGGUGCCAGCCGCCGCGGUAACACCCGCAGCACAAGUGGUGGUCACUUUUAUUGAGCCUAAAGCGUUCGUAGCCGGUUUUGUAAAUCUUUAGAUAAAGCCUGAAGCUUAACUCCAGAAAGUCUGAAGAGACUGCAAGACUUGAGAUCGGGUGAGGUUAAACGUACUUUCAGGGUAGGGGUAAAAUCCUGUAAUCCCGGAAGGACGACCAGUGGCGAAAGCGUUUAACUAGAACGAAUCUGACGGUAAGGAACGAAGGCUAGGGUAGCAAACCGGAUUAGAUACCCGGGUAGUCCUAGCUGUAAACACUGCCCAUUUGAUGUUGCUUUUCCGUUGAGGGAAGGCAGUGUCGGAGCGAAGGUGGUAAAUGGGCCGCUUGGGAAGUAUGGUCGCAAGACUGAAACUUAAAGGAAUUGGCGGGGGAGCACCGCAACGGGAGGAAUGUGCGGUUUAAUUGGAUUCAACGCCGGA